GAUUUGGAUUUGAUACCUGGGUUGGGAAGAUCCCCAAUCCCACGGACAGAGGAGCCUGCCAGCCUACAGUGCAUGGGGUUGCAGAGUCAGACACAACUGAGAGACUGAUCACUUCACUUCAGAGAAAACAGAAGCAGAGCCAAGAGACCGCCAGCAUCACCAGCACGAGAGCCUCUAAGUAGGAAAGGCUGGGCAGGUGACCACAUGGACUGUAGCCCACCAGGCUCCUCUGUCCAUGGGAUUUCCCAGCUUUUAAAAGAACACUUAUUUGGCUGCGUUGGGUCUUAGUCGCAGUGCGUGGGAUCGUCGUUGCCUCAUGCAGAAUCUCCUGUUCCGACACAUGCGCUCUCUAGGGAUUCACGUUGGAGGAACCUGUUUCUUCAUCUGUAAAAGGCUAUCAGUCAGUUCAACGAGUCAAUCGUGUCUGACUCUUUGCGACCACGUGGACUGCAGCACGCCAGGCUUCCCUGUCCAUUGCCACUAUAAAGUGAUAUAAGCAAUGAAAACACAUGUAACGUGCCCAAGUCAGAGAACGUUCUUGAAAUGUUUGCUUUCCUCCCACCGAACGCCCCACCUCACUUUCUCCCACCGGAACACCCAGGUCUCCUGAUCCCCACGUGCACACAUGUUCAGAAACGCUAAAAGAACCACCGUUUCUCCACUUCCAUCCAGACUCCUCUUUAGCAGAGGCGGUUUUAAAGUCAUGUGUUAUUAGAAAUCUUAUAAUGUACAGUUUGUAAACGGCAAGUCAGAAAUUGGAAGCUCAGGCCAGGAUCCUGAGACUGCCUGUCCGACAGCAGAGGCAUCAGAGAAUGCACUCAUUCAUAAGCUCGCCAGAGAGACGAGGUGGAAAAGACACUGACGUACAGACAGGAAGUGCAGACAAGGCUAAUUCGUUGCCACUGAAGCUUGCUGAGCGUGGUCUGGCUGUGACGUAAAUUAUUCAUGCAUUCCCCACGGCACCCUUGUGUUGAAGGCUGAUGUCAGGACAGGACCCCGAGUUCCUCUUCUGCCCCCGCCAGAGCUGAGCCGCGGUGUACAGAGUCGACACACCAUCCAUCCUAAAAUCCACUCUGUCCUCCAAGGGGGCCCACAGUGCAAGGCUGGCCAGUGCAACUAGGCUUCCUUGUCCAACUGCCAGAGACAGAUGGAUUCAUUCAGUUGCCAGCCCAAUACCCCCUGAUAAUGGUGAUAAUGUCUGGAAUUGAUUUAUGGUGCUCCUCUUGCCAUGAGAACGCAGUGGAGGCUGGACUGUGUAAGUGGCCUUUUGCUGCAGGUACAGAAUCAUCCUCUAAUUGUUCAUCUAAUGUUUCAGAUGUCCUAGUCAGGAAUAACAAAUUCAUGUGCUAUAGGGGCCCAGAAGUCACAGUGGUAAAGAGUAAGAUGAGAGACUUGCCUAGUGGUCCAGUGGCUAAGAAUCUGCCUGCCAGUGCAAGGGACAUGGGUUCAAUCCCUGCUCAGGGAAGAUUCCACAUGUCACAGAGCAGCUAAGCCCAUAUGCCACAACUACUGAGCCCUCGUUCCUAGAGCCCAUUCUCUACAACAAAAGAAGCCACCACAAUGAGAAGCCUGUGCAUUGCAGUGAAGAGCCAGCACAGCCAUAAAUAAAUAAAUUUUAUUUUUUAAAAAGGAGUAAGAUGAUAGGGCGUGUUGGGGAAUGUCCGAGAGGAGAUUGCCUGUCCCAUCCUUCCAGACGGCUCCUUGCAGACCCAGCACAGAUUGUUGGCUUCUGAGGGCACAUGUCUUGGGUUAUUGCAUCUUCUGACUUUUCACAAGAAGCUGGAUUCCCAGAUUUUAAUGUGGAAAUCUCCUAGUUUUUAAAUUUAAGUGCUGAGUGAAUACUUCCAUUGGUCCAGUUCAACUAGAUUGUUUAUAAUCUCUGAUCUUAUUUGUUUCCCUGUGUAAAGGUAGCCUUUCACAGGAAGGGACAUCACUGUUUCUCCCACAUUCUCUUUUGUCCUCUCUUACACCGCAUCAUUCUUUGCAUAACGUGUAGCAUUUAUAUCAGUUAUGAUCUUCAACCUCAGUCACCAAUUUACUGCUCUGGUAUCCCAGACUCUGUGCUCCAGGUUCUUUUUCUUCUUCAUUAUUGCUUUCUGUGUCUUCUCCUCAUUUCUCAAAGGCCUCCAGACACCUCAAAAGGAAAGGCAGCGUGAACAGGAGUCAGUAAUGACUGUCUACUGACAACACGCCUUCAUCUCUAAGACAGCAUUUUCUCUCUUUCGAAGCCAGGUCAUUGCCAAGAUGGCAGGAGUUUAGCAGAGAAAAAGGGAGGAAUUCCAGGGUAGAGUCCAAAAGGCCUCUCCUUCCGUGUAAGGCGGCGCUCAACAGUUAAUGCGCACCCGACUCGCCUCCUAGCAUCCUCCGCCCCUCCUGCUCCCAGGUCCCACCAUCUGUGGGGACAUUCUCCCUUUUCCGGGACGUGUUCUGUGGUGGGGGCCCACUGCUCCCUCAUGCUCUCCCCG
ensembl:lncRNA